CUACGGGAGGCAGCAGUAGGGAAUCUUCCACAAUGGACGAAAGUCUGAUGGAGCAACGCCGCGUGAGUGAUGAAGGUUUUCGGAUCGUAAAACUCUGUUGUUAAAGAAGAACAAGUGUUAGAGUAACUGUUAACACUUUGACGGUAUUUAACCAGAAAGCCACGGCUAACUACGUGCCAGCAGCCGCGGUAAUACGUAGGUGGCAAGCGUUGUCCGGAUUUAUUGGGCGUAAAGCGAGCGCAGGCGGUUUUGUAAGUCUGCUGUGAAAGCCCUCAGCUCAACUGAGGAAGUGCAGUGGAAACUACAAAACUUGAGUACAGAAGAGGAAAGUGGAACUCCAUGUGUAGCGGUGAAAUGCGUAGAUAUAUGGAAGAACACCAGUGGCGAAGGCGGCUUUCUGGUCUGUUACUGACGCUGAGGCUCGAAAGCAUGGGUAGCGAACAGGAUUAGAUACCCUGGUAGUCCAUGCCGUAAACGAUGAAUACUAGGUGUUGGAGGGUUUCCGCCCUUCAGUGCCGCAGCUAACGCAUUAAGUUUCCGCCUGGGGAGUACGACCGCAAGGUUGAAACUCAAAGGAAUUGACGGGGGNCCNCCNAAGUGGGG
rnacentral:rRNA from 2 species